GGGAGUGGGGAUUAUGUGUAAUUUUAAUUUUAUUUUAUUUUAUUUUCCCUUGUCAAAAAAUUUAUGACGUUAGUUCUUCUCUCCCUUUUCUUUUCCUCUUUGUUUCUUCUUCUAGUCUUUUCUCUUUACUCCGUUUGACAAUCGACUGUGCCAAUAAUUUCAUUGUGAUUUUUCGAUGGUUUCUCUUUUAUUUGGGUAAGUUUUGA
rnacentral:lncRNA from 1 species